GAACUGGAAUAGAGCUCGCCUCGGCUCUGCCGGCCUUGGCUGCAGCUCUUCCAGAAACCCGGGGCACCCGCAGAAGAAUCCCUUACCUGGAUCUGUCUUCAGGGAUGACAUCAUCUGCUCACACCAGUCUUCAAGGACCACCUUCUGGAUGCCAAGGCUACUACUGCUCAAGUACCUGCUGUGCACCUCUACCUCCUGGUACCUCGGCCACGCCCUCAAGUUGCUUGCAUGUUAUACGGCCUAGCCAAGGAGCACGGAUUCCAGGAACCCACUAGCAUACAGAGCAACGCCUUGUGGACCCCCCCUGGGAUCAGGACAGCGAGGGACAAGCAUCAAAGAGGAUCUUCAGUGUCCAGCUAGUCUUUCUCUGGGAUUCAAACCUUGAACCAAUGCCCUAGUGAGGGGGCACUGGCUGUGACCCUUGACCUUUGCUCUGCUUGUGUCUUGAGUCUGAGCCCUUUCCUGAACAUCUGUGCUUGUGUUCAUCUGCUAGUGGACUGGAGUGCUACCCUCCCUGAGGGGGGGGUGUCCCUUGUGACUGACCAUGUUGUCCUAACAAUGUCCUGAGCAGAAGGGUCCCUUUGGGAACCUCUCAGGAGGGGGACCUGGGCCAGGGGUGACCAGCAUCUUGCUGGCAACUCUGUGGGUGGGGCGGGGUGGGGUGCUUCCUUCUGGAAUGAGCAUGUGGCUGACCCCCAAAGGCAUGUCCCCUCCCCCUCCUCCACCCACCUUCUUGGAGAUGUCCCUUCCUUUGGGGGGUAAUGGGGACAUUAGGAGCAACCUCCUAGGGUUGUUGUGAGAAUUAAAUGAACUGCAGCAGCCUGAGGCAGGGCUGGGCAGAGACCUCAGCACGUGUUUGUUGAAAGGUUUGCAGGUGGAUCUCCUCCCUGCUCACCACGCCUCACAUGUCUCAUCCAUUCUCCUGCAGAUGCCUGUAGCCCCUGUACCUAGGGCUCUUGCUGCACCAGGUUUUAAGACUUGGCUUGCUGGCCCUGGAGAUCCUCUCUUCGUCGUCUUCGUCGUCAAACUCGAACUCUUGUGUCGUCGUCCUUCCCUGGCCUGUCGCGUCUUCCUGUGCCAUUUCCUGUUGUGCUCAGGUUCCACAAGCCGCCCAUCUCCACAGAAGAGCAGCUGGCAUUGCCCACCGGCCAUGCCGGCUGAAGAACAGAAGACUCAGGACUCCAGGAGCCCAGGAUGCCCAGCGCGAGGACCCCACCACGCCCAGCGCGAGGACCCCACCACGCCCAGCGCGAGGACCCCAUGACGACACGUUGCAACCCUCCUGGAUUAGGCCAAAGUCAUCACCUGGAAUCCUGCGUGGGACCCUGGACACACGGACACAGAAACCUGCCCCCAGGACCCUUCCAACUGUCAAUCCUUCUACAGCACGGGGACAUCUUGCACAUUUCCUGUGGGACAUGCUGGACCCAAGACUCUGGACCCUGGCCUCCCCUUGAGUAGAGAGACCCACCUACUGACUGAUGAACUGCGCUGACCCUGGGGUCAGGCUUUGUGGCCUUGAUCCCUGUCCAUGGACCCUGAGACUUGGGGGAGGGACGCUGCUGAGUCCACAUCUGUGAAAUGGGCUCAGGUUCCUACCUCACAGGGCUGUUGUGAGGCAGCUGUGAUGUGCUUAGAAGCAUGGGGCCUGGAGGCUCACGGUGCUUUCAAUAAAUGUUUCUUGUCUUAACUAAA